AGUCACAUAUGGGUAAAACAUAUUCAGACAUGGGUGAAUGUAAUCAAUUGUAUGUGAAUACCAUUCACCCACAGUUCACAUAUGGGUGAAUGCUGUUUACCCCUAUGUGAAUGUCAUUCACCCAUAUGUGAAUGUCAUUCACCCACAUGUGAAU
rnacentral:miRNA from 1 species